rnacentral:rRNA from 1 species
CGAUCUCUUCGGAGAUAGUGGCAGACGGGUGAGUAACGCGUGGGAACCUACCCUUUGGUACGGAACAACAGUUGGAAACGACUGCUAAUACCGUAUGUGCCCUACGGGGGAAAGAUUUAUCGCCAAAGGAUGGGCCCGCGUUGGAUUAGCUAGUUGGUGAGGUAAUGGCUCACCAAGGCGACGAUCCAUAGCUGGUCUGAGAGGAUGAUCAGCCACACUGGGACUGAGACACGGCCCAGACUCCUACGGGAGGCAGCAGUGGGGAAUAUUGGACAAUGGGCGCAAGCCUGAUCCAGCCAUGCCGCGUGAGUGAUGAAGGCCUUAGGGUUGUAAAGCUCUUUCAGCGAGGAGGAUAAUGACGUUACUCGCAGAAGAAGCCCCGGCUAACUUCGUGCCAGCAGCCGCGGUAAUACGAAGGGGGCUAGCGUUGUUCGGAAUCACUGGGCGUAAAGCGCACGUAGGCGGAUUGAUAAGUUAGGGGUGAAAUCCCAGGGCUCAACCCUGGAACUGCCUUUGAUACUGUCAGUCUAGAGACCGAGAGAGGUGAGUGGAACUCCGAGUGUAGAGGUGAAAUUCGUAGAUAUUCGGAAGAACACCAGUGGCGAAGGCGGCU